CGCGUAGGCGGCCGUCCGAGUCCGGGGUGAAAUCUUUCGGCCCAACCGGAAAAGGGCCUCGGAUACCGGGCGGCUGGAGGGGGGUAGGGGCACGCGGAACUUCCGGUGGAGCGGUGAAAUGCGUUGAUAUCGGAAGGAACGCCGGCGGCGAAAGCGGCGUGCUGGACCCCGCCUGACGCUGAUGCGCGAAAGCCAGGGGAGCGAACG
rnacentral:rRNA from 1 species